rnacentral:rRNA from 1 species
GACGAACGCUGGCGGCGUGCUUAACACAUGCAAGUCGAGCGGUAAGGCUCCUUCGGGAGUACACGAGCGGCGAACGGGUGAGUAACACGUGAGUAAUCUGCCCUUCACUUCGGGAUAACCACCGGAAACGGUGGCUAAUACCGAAUACGACCAGUCUUCGCAUGAGGUGCUGGUGGAAAGUCUUUUCGGUGAAGGAUGUGCUCGCGGCCUAUCAGCUUGUUGGUGGGGUAAUGGCCUACCAAGGCUUCGACGGGUAGCCGGCCUGAGAGGGUGACCGGCCACACUGGGACUGAGACACGGCCCAGACUCCUACGGGAGGCAGCAGUGGGGAGUAUUGGACAAUGGGCGAAAGCCUGAUCCAGCAACGCCGCGUGAGGGAUGACGGCCUUCGGGUUGUAAACCUCUUUCAGUACCGACGAAGCGCCCUGUCGGGUGGUGACGGUAGGUACAGAAGAAGGACCGGCCAACUACGUG